AGCGGCGGAUGGGUGAGUAACACGUGGGGAACCUGCCCCUAAGUCUGGGAUACCAUUUGGAAACAGGUGCUAAUACCGGAUAAUAAAGCAGAUCGCAUGAUCAGCUUUUGAAAGGCGGCGUAAGCUGUCGCUAAGGGAUGGCCCCGCGGUGCAUUAGCUAGUUGGUAAGGUAACGGCUUACCAAGACGACGAUGCAUAGCCGAGUUGAGAGACUGAUCGGCCACAUUGGGACUGAGACACGGCCCAAACUCCUACGGGAGGCAGCAGUAGGGAAUCUUCCACAAUGGACGCAAGUCUGAUGGAGCAACGCCGCGUGAGUGAAGAAGGUUUUCGGAUCGUAAAGCUCUGUUGUUGGUGAAGAAGGAUAGAGGUAGUAACUGGCCUUUAUUUGACGGUAAUCAACCAGAAAGUCACGGCUAACUACGUGCCAGCAGCCGCGGUAAUACGUAGGUGGCAAGCGUUGUCCGGAUUUAUUGGGCGUAAAGCGAGCGCAGGCGGAAAAAUAAGUCUAAUGUGAAAGCCCUCGGCUUAACCGAGGAACUGCAUCGGAAACUGUUUUUCUUGAGUGCAGAAGAGGAGAGUGGAACUCCAUGUGUAGCGGUGGAAUGCGUAGAUAUAUGGAAGAACACCAGUGGCGAAAGGCGGCUCUCUGGUCUGCAACUGACGCUGAGGCUCGAAAGCAUGGGUAGCGAACAGGAUUAGAUACCCUGGUAGUCCAUGCCGUAACGAUGAGUGCUAAGUGU
rnacentral:rRNA from 1 species